UCCCUAGUCGGCAUAGUUUAUGGUUAAGACUACGACGGUAUCUGAUCGUCUUCGAUCCCCUAACUUUCGUUCUUGAUUAAUGAAAACAUCCUUGGCAAAUGCUUUCGCAGUAGUUAGUCUUCAAUAAAUCCAAGGAUUUCACCUCUGACAAUUGAAUACUAAUGCCCCCAACUAUCCCUAUUAAUCAUUACGUCAAUCCUAGAAACCAACAAAAUAGGGUCAACGUCCUAUUUCAUUAUUCCAUGCUAAUGUAUUCAAGCCUAAGCCUGCUUUAAACACUCUAAUUUUUUCAAAGUAACAGUCCUGAUUUCCUGCAACACCAAAUUAAUGACAUUACAGUUCGUCAAGAGGGAGGAAUCAGUGAGAUCAGUACAUACCAGAGGCAUGACCAACCUACUAACCCCGAAAUUCAACUACGAGCUUUUUAACUGCAACAACUUUAAUAUACGC
rnacentral:rRNA from 1 species